rnacentral:lncRNA from 1 species
UAUUCUCAAAGAGAGUAGAGUGAACACCAAUGGGCCACUGAACCCCAUGUGAAGAAGACCUGUUUCAAGAAAAGGUCAUGCAUCGGCAGCAGCAGGAGGAGAAACUGCGGGCUGUGGUGAUGCUCCUUUCAUCUCCUCUGGCUGUGGAUCAAGCAGUGUGUGCUGCCCCCACCCGCACUCACUCCUCCUCUUCCCCCUUCCUCCCUUCAUCCUCCACCCAGCUCCUGUCUGGAGAAGGCACUGAUGCAGCAUCCCAGCGGAUUUCAUUCAUCAGCAGCAUAUACCCGGUUUUUAACCCUCAUGUUUGUUGAGAUUGACUUUACUGUUUUUUAUUUUGUAUUUCUUUCUUUUUAAUUUUUGUUUAACUAUGUUAUAUUUGUAUAUAUGUAUAAACACACACGUGUAUAAAUACACAUUAGUUUAAAUUUAAUAUGAAUUUUCUUUCUUUCUUUUUUUUUUUUUACGUUCCUUAAUAUACAAAUAAGAUUGAAGCUUUAACCCUCUGUUGCAUUUUCAGAAAGGUCACUAUUGUCCAGAAGAGGUAUUAAAGAUUUAACACAAAUAUAUAACUGACUGGAUAUAUUUAUAUGAUUUUGACAGUUUUGUUAAUAAAAGUGAAGUGGCAAAUGUUAUAUGUAAUAUGACUCCACAUCUGGCUAAGCAGCAAAUAUUCUCACAACCACAUUAAAACAGAACCCAUCUCAGCUGAUCUCAUUCAUUAUCUCUUUGAAGCACUUCAGUCAAUUUACUGAAACUUAAUGAAACCCUGUUACUCUGUAUUGGUAACUGGGGGAAAUCUUAUAUUUAGACACAUACUUGUCAAGAUUAAAGAGGACAGCUUUUAAUUUGACUCAGCUGAAGGCCUUUUUAGAUUGCUGUUAAAGGGGUUCUUAAUUCAGGGCAAUUAAUCUAAGACUUCGGCGUAAUAAAUCAGUAAAUACAAAGAUACCAAAGAGACCAGACAAAAUUUUACAGAGGUGGGUUUGUUAAGCUAUCUAUAUAAUGUGGUUCUAUGUAUAUAAAGCAAUCCAAAGUCUCUAAAAACAUUACAGAUUAUAAAAUGUGCAAAACUGCAUUAAAAACACAAGCUUUAUUUAGUAAGUAUAUAUGAAAGAACUGGAUAUCACCCCACACAGCAGACUGAGGCUGAUAUUAUCCAUCCCUUAAAUCCAAGCUCAGUUUGCCAGGUUUUCCAAAUCACACCAUGCUUAUAUAAAGCAACUGUUAAAAUAUUUAUUAGCACCAUUCUAAUUAAUCCUCACUCUGUCUCAUUAGAAAUAAUUAGACAAAAAAAACUUUUAAAAAA